GACGAACGCUGGCGGCGUGCCUAAUACAUGCAAGUAGAACGCUGAAGGAGGAGCUUGCUUCUCUGGAUGAGUUGCGAACGGGUGAGUAACGCGUAGGUAACCUGCCUGGUAGCGGGGGAUAACUAUUGGAAACGAUAGCUAAUACCGCAUAAUAGUAGAUGUUGCAUGACAUUUGCUUAAAAGGUGCAAUUGCAUCACUACCAGAUGGACCUGCGUUGUAUUAGCUAGUUGGUGGGGUAACGGCUCACCAAGGCGACGAUACAUAGCCGACCUGAGAGGGUGAUCGGCCACACUGGGACUGAGACACGGCCCAGACUCCUACGGGAGGCAGCAGUAGGGAAUCUUCGGCAAUGGACGGAAGGCUGACCGAGCAACGCCGCGUGAGUGAAGAAGGUUUUCGGAUCGUAAAGCUCUGUUGUAAGAGAAGAAAGAGUGUGAGAGUGGAAAGUUCACACUGUGACGGUAUCUUACCAGAAAGGGACGGCUAACUACGUG
rnacentral:rRNA from 1 species